CUGAAGCUUUUUCUAUAGAAGGAACUGAGACACUUCUGGAGGGAAGAUGUUUUGUGUCCUGGUUUCAGUGUGCCUGCUUGGCAGAAUUCUGCAGAAUUCAUGAUUUCUAGCAACAGGCUCCUGCAUUGCAUGGCAGCAAACAGCACCCAGGCAGAGGGCUCAUUGUUUGCAAGGUCCGGAUGAAUGAUUCAUUAGCACACCACCAUUUCAUGGCCUGGGAUGAGAAUUAUAGCAGUGGCUGGUGGCUUGAGGAAGCAUCAGCAGACUUUCUUUGGGAAGCACACAGGGCCCUGGAAUUCCAAUAAUAGUCACAAGGCCAACAUUGUAGCUCUAAGAACUGAAUCGUAAUCAGUAAGUGGAAGUCUGUUUCUUUUGGAGACUGGUGGCACAAAUGGAGAGAUCCAUUUCUCCUGAUCAAUCCGUUCUCCACUCCAUCCGCCAUCACUUUCUCCAAGUAAUGCAGGGGAUGUGAACAACCAAUCAGGAGAGAAGUUUCAAGGAAAUAAGAUGAAAUGCGAAAAAGAAGCAGAAAGAACACUGGUUGUUAUCCAGACUAAACACAAGUGAGAUUUACAGAUAUCAUUCAGCACAUCCAUGAGCUUUAUCUUGAGGAUCCCUGGAGUAUAUCAUUGCAGGUGGACUGGAGCAUGUUUGGAUCUCUCGGUUCCAUGACUGCCAAGAUAAUGGCAUGAAAAACACAAGAAUAGCACAGACCAUUGGCUGAUGUUUCUCCAUCCUCAAUU